UCUAAACCGAACACUCCCGCACUAUUUUUUCUUCUGUAAGAGAUCCAUUCGUCGUUCCAAAAUCACUAUUAUGUUCUUGGUAGUAGCUCUUCAAUUUAAUCAGUGUAAUUUUUCUUAUUGUUUGUUUUACGUUAAUUUUGAUUGUCCCUAUUUUUGUGAGUUUUUUCUUUUUGUAUUUUUCUAAAAAUUUUAUUUAUGGUGGAGGUUUUCUGAAGACAGAUAGGUGUUAGAGUUGUUUCUAUUUUGGCUACUGUUUUUGUGGGGGGUUGACUAUGGUAUAACUCAUCCUCCGGUGAUUAUCUUUAGGCUUUCCGUCAGAAUGAGUUAUACCUCAGCACAAGAGAACAAGGAGGUGGACACCUGCAAAAGGCACUCCGACACUCAAGUCAAUAAGUGUAUAUUGAGCUCUUUUCUUGAAAAGAAUAACUUUGAUAGAAUUACUUACCUCAUUUUUCCUC
rnacentral:lncRNA from 1 species